UACGGAGGGUGCGAGCGUUAUCCGGAAUUACUGGGUUUAAAGGGUGCGUAGGCGGCCAGGUAAGUCGGGUGUGAAAGUUUGCGGCUCAACCGUAAAAUUGCUUUUGAUACUGCCAGGCUAGAAUUAGGAUGAGGUCAGCGGAAUGUGGCAUGUAGCGGUGAAAUGCAUAGAUAUGCCAUAGAACACCAAUUGCGAAGGCAGCUGGCUAGACCUGGAUUGACGCUGAGGCACGAAAGCGUGGGGAGCGAACAGG
rnacentral:rRNA from 1 species